rnacentral:rRNA from 1 species
AUUGAACGCUGGCGGCAUGCCUUACACAUGCAAGUCGAACGGUAACAGGUCUUCGGAUGCUGACGAGUGGCGAACGGGUGAGUAAUACACCGGAACGUGCCCGAUCGUGGGGGUUAACGAGGCUAAAGCUUUGCUAAUACCGCAUACGAUCUACGGUUGAAAUCGGGGGAUCUUCGGACCUCGCGCGGACGGAGCGGCCGGUGGCAGAUUAGGUAGUUGGUGGGAUAAAAGCUUACCAAGCCGACGAUCUGUAGCUGGUCUGAGAGGAUGAUCAGCCACACUGGGACUGAGACACGGCCCAGACUCCUACGGGAGGCAGCAGUGGGGAAUUUUGGACAAUGGGCGAAAGCCUGAUCCAGCCAUGCCGCGUGCAGGAUGAAGGCCUUCGGGUUGUAAACUGCUUUUGUACGGAACGAAAAGCCUCUUUCUAAUAAAGAGGGGUCAUGACGGUACCGGAAGAAUAAGCACCGGCUAACUACGUG